rnacentral:lncRNA from 1 species
CUCUACACAUCGGAUAACCCCCAUGGAGCUUUCCUUUUUCUGCUGUGUCCUUUUAGAAUGAGUUAUCAUUUAUCAAGGUCCCCUUGGGGAUUUGAAAUUACUGUGUAGGCUAAAGGUUCCCAGACUUCAUAUUGGAAAGCUAAGCACACCAAACAGGAUGGACUUGCAAUCCACUUCACAACCAUGCCUACUGGAGUCCCUCUUUAGGAACUUCAGCCCAUCUGCAUUGAAGAUAUGGAAAAACUGGUGAUGAUCUGGUCUGUCACUGGGCAGCUGUAGGAGGACCUUAUCUUCUUCGUGAGCCAGUACUUUUGUCUUCUUACUCAGUGCAAUGGUGAUGCUCUUUGGAGAAAAGAUCAGCUACCCUACUUCCUGCCUUUUCCCCAUAGCAUGAUCUGAAGUGGGACAGAAGCAUCAGAAGUACAGCGCACAGGUGAAAAGAUUAAUUUGUUUCCUGGGAGAUGUCACUGUUCUCGGUUCCCAACUAUCCUUCUAGAACAUGUAGGCCAGCUCAUCCAAAAUUAAUGUUCAUACUGUGAUAAUUUGAUAUUGUUUUAGGAAUAUUCCUAGUAGGGAUAAUGUGUUUUAUGGCAUUACAUUAAGAUAACAGUAAGCAAAAAUAUACACUCCCCCUCUUAACUC